UGAUGACGAGACGCUAAGGCGUUGAAGCAGUGUAUGUCAGACUUCCAAGAAAAGCUCGCAAUGUCACAAAUAAAGAAUGCCUGUACCAUAACCGACACAGGUGGGUAGGUAGAGUAUACUAAGGGGCGCGAGAUAACUCUCUCUAAGGAACUCGGCAAAAUGACUCCGUAACUUCGGGAGAAGGAGUGCCUUAUUUAUAAGGUUGCAAUAACAAGAUCCAAGCAACUGUUUAUCAAAAACACAGGUCUCUGCUAAGUCGUAAGACGAUGUAUGGGGGCUGACGCCUGCCCAGUGCCAGAAGGUUAAAGAAGUUGGUUAGUGUAUGCGAAGCUGAUGACUGAAGCCCUGGUGAACGGCGGCCGUAACAAUAACGGUCCUAAGGUAGCGAAAUUCCUUGUCGGGUAAGUUCCGACCCGCACGAAAGGCGUAAUGAUUUGGAUACUGUCUCGGAGAGAGGCUCGGUGAAAUAGACUUGUCUGUGAAGAUGCGGACUACCUGCACCAGGACAGAAAGACCCUAUGAAGCUUUACUGUAACUUGAAAUUGGAAUUGGACUUUGCUUGCGCAGUAUAGGUGGGAAGCGUUGAAAAUAUUCUUGCGGGAGUAUUGGAGCUAUCAGUGAGAUACCACUCUUGUAAUGUUAGAUUUCUAACUUUGAACCAUAAUCUGGUCAAAGAACAGUUUCAGGUGGGCAGUUUGACUGGGGCGGUCGCCUCCCAAAUGGUAACGGAGGCGUACAAAGGUUUCCUCUGAACGGAUAGAAAUCGUAUCUAGAGUGUAAAGGCAUAAGGAAGCUUGACUGUGAGACCUACAAGUCGAGCAGGGACGAAAGUCGGUCUUAGUGAUCUGACGGUACUGAGUGGAAAGGCCGUCACUCAACGGAUAAAAGUUACUCUAGGAUAACAGGCUGAUCUCCCCCAAGAGUUCACAUCGACGGGGAGGUUUGGCACCUCGAUGUCGGCUCAUCGCAUCCUGGGGCGGUAGUACGUCCCAAGGGUUGGGCUGUUCGCCCAUGAAAGCGGUACGCGAGCUGGGUUCAGAACGUCGUGAGACAGUUCGGUCCAUAUCCGGUGUAGGCGCUAGAAUAUUGAGAGGAGCCUUCUUUAGUACGAGAGGACCGAGAAGGACACACCGCCGGUGUACCAGUUAUCGUGCCAACGGUAAACGCUGGGUAGCUAUGUGUGGAGUGGAUAACCGCUGAAAGCAUCUAAGUGGGAAGCCCACCUCGAGAUGAGUAUUCUCAC
rnacentral:rRNA from 1 species